AUGCCGGAGGGUACCAACGAUACAGUCAUAGCGCUCAUUCCUAAAGGAAACAGCCCGAAGCAAUUGAAGGACUUUCGCCCUAUCAGUCUAUGCAAUGUGAUAUACAAGGUAAUUUCUAAGUGUAUGGUGAAUCGUCUAAGACCCUUCCUGGAUGAGCUCAUUUCGGAAACCCAAAGUGCCUUCAUCCCAGGGCGU
rnacentral:rRNA from 1 species